AGAAAUAUGUCUGAUAAAAGAGUUANNNUGAUAGAGUAAAACAUAGAGGUUCAAACCCUCUUAUUUCUA
rnacentral:tRNA from 1 species